rnacentral:lncRNA from 1 species
GCUCUCAAGCCUUGACCUGUCAGUAGACAGUGUGUGAAACUUGAAUUUUUCAGUUGGAUCCAGAAAUUAUACCGCAGAUAUUCUUUUGUUGAAAUUUUGAAUCAUCGGGAAUGAUUUGGUUGAUGCCGGUACAUGUUUAGACUAUUUACUAUUUCCUUUUUAUACUUGGAGGUGACUUGGGGUAGAUUUAUAAUGUCAUUUUUUGUCAAGGCACUGCC